AUUGAACGCUGGCGGCAGGCCUAACACAUGCAAGUCGAGCGGAUGAAGGGAGCUUGCUCCUGGAUUCAGCGGCGGACGGGUGAGUAAUGCCUAGGAAUCUGCCUGGUAGUGGGGGAUAACGUCCGGAAACGGGCGCUAAUACCGCAUACGUCCUGAGGGAGAAAGGGGGGGAUCUUCGGACCUCACGCUAUCAGAUGAGCCUAGGUCGGAUUAGCUAGUUGGUGGGGUAAAGGCCUACCAAGGCGACGAUCCGUAACUGGUCUGAGAGGAUGAUCAGUCACACUGGAACUGAGACACGGUCCAGACUCCUACGGGAGGCAGCAGUGGGGAAUAUUGGACAAUGGGCGAAAGCCUGAUCCAGCCAUGCCGCGUGUGUGAAGAGGGUCUUCGGAUUGUAAAGCACUUUAAGUUGGGAGGAAGGGCAGUAAGUUAAUACCUUGCUGUUUUGACGUUACCAACAGAAUAAGCACCGGCUAACUUCGUG
rnacentral:rRNA from 1 species